GGAAUGUUAUAAACAACCCUACUAUCCAUGGAUCUAUCACAAAUACCCUUUAGAAACUUUACAAAUACCCUUGAUGACAUAAUUGAAAAUUCCUUUAAAAACUUAAUAACCAUAAUUCCGUUUUUAGCCUCUCUUACUUCGUUCUUCUUCAUUUCAAAUAACGGAAGAAAAAAAAACUCAUCGCUCCCACCACCAUCAUCUCCAUCACCCCUACCAAUACCAAGAUCUAUCACCGCCACCAUAACUAGCACCACCAUCUCUGUUACCUUCGCCACUAGUAUCAACAGAUUUUCCAUGAUUUGUGUUCCAUUUCAAAACAGUUUCAGAGAUCGAUUUGAUUUUUAAUUUUCGAUUUAGUAAUUUCGAGUUGAGAUUCAGAUUUCGGGUGGGUUUUUAGUUAAAGAUUCGGAGUCAGUGAUUUGAGCUCGAGAUUCGUUGAUUCUGAAACUGGAUAUACUGGUGAUGGUGUUUGAUUUGAAUCUGUGGUGCAAUGGUAUGAAGUCGGGGAUUGAUUUGAAUGAAGUGAGAGGUUGAGUUGAAGCAGAAAUGAAAUAGCUAUAUGGGAGUCUGUUGAAGUCAGGGUUUGAUGGAGGUUGAAGAGAUGAUCCAGAGUGUGAGAAGGGUUUAAAAAGAAUCAAAGAAGGAAAUAUAUCUGGUAAUAAUGAUUGUGUUAUGGACUGAAAUUGUGUUCUUGAUGUCAUCGGUUCUGUUGGUGGAUGAAUUGGUUGGAGAUGUAGAAGAUGGCGAGCUGCUGCUGAUGGGAAGUGAAAGACACGAAGUUGAUUGUGGAUCUGUUGAUGACUGUGAAUGCAAGAGAAGCUUGAGAGGGUGGCAACAAUGGAAUGACUGGUAGAUGAAUGUUAGGAUUUGAUGUUUCGCUUGAGCUGAAGUUGAUUUGCUGCUGAUGAUUUCAGAGUUGUAAGAGGUGGUGUUAUCUGGUGGUGGUUUGAAUUGAUGGUUGGUUUGUUGAGGAAGAGAACUGGAGUUAAGAGCUGGAGCUGUUAUGAUUGAAUUUGUUGAAGAUUUGGGUUAUUUUAGAAUUGAUAGUGUUAUGAUUGAAGAUUUGAGUUUGUUAUGAUUGAAGUGUAGUUGUUGUGAUUGGUUAGUCUGAAAUGGAGAGGGUUUACUGGUGCCAUGUCAAAUUCAGGUGCAUAUGAAAGAUUACAGUGCAUAUAGCGGGAUGGUGUUGUUGUUGAAGUGAUCGAUGGAAUCGAAUUGCAGGAAAUGCAAGAUAGCAUUGUAGGCUGAGUUAAAAUGUUUGCGAGUAUGAGAUGGUUAUAGAUGCAAUUGAGAAGAUGAGUUUUGUCGGUGGAUUGUGGAGUGUAGAUGAAGUAGUCGUUGGUUUGCAGUUGCAGGUAGUUAUACUUUGGUGGAUUGUGGAGUGUAGAUGAAGUAGUCGUUGGUUUGCAGUUGCAGGUAGUUAUACUUUGGAUGCAGUGUAUAAGAUGUUGUACUAAGAUUGCAUAGAUUGGCUUGAACUUGUGAUGGAAAUGGUGUUGCAGUUAGGGAGAUAUUGCCGUGAGUUGGAGUUUUGAUUUCUGGUAUUGAUCUCGUUGGAGUUUGGUGGUAUGUACAGCAGAGAGAUAUGCAAGAGAUUGAGUAUUUGAAAUUGAUUUUGAGAUUUCGAUAUCAGUUGCCUUAAGACAACUUGUGCAAGUUUCCUUCAUAUACGGAGACAACUUUGUCCAGUUACCUCCAUAUACCUCUAUAUAUGAAGACAACUAUGGAGAUGAGAGUGUCGUCUAGUAUAAUCACAUAUGAGAUGAUGGACGAAGUUGUUUAUGAUGUGUUGAUGUUAACUGGAAGUAAAUAUGCUAUGGAGAACAGAAGGCAUAAUAUAAGAAGACAUCGAGAUGGUUGUGUUGCUGAUGCUUAUGUUUUGAAGUCAAAAGAAUAGAUGAAUGCUUAGGAAGUUGAGCAGUGGCUGAAUAUGUAUGCAGGCAGUGAAGAGCAGAACAAGGAGUUGUUGGUGCUUGUGUGUUGCUGAUGGUGUUUGAGUAACGGAUAUGGAAGUGAUUGCAGCUGUUGGCUCAUGUUGCAAGUGUUUGUAGAUGGUUGUGGUCAUGAAGCUGUUGCAGGUAGAGUUGCAGUAUGGUGAAUAUGUGAGUCAGCUUAUGGGGUAAAUGAAUUGACUGGUGAUGAUAGUGCAGUUGUUACUGGUGAUGAUAGUGCAAUUGCACUGAGCUAGAAGUGUAGGUGGUAAAUGAAUUCAUUUGUGUAUAUUUUUAUUUUUUGGAGACAACUUGUGAUAGUUGCCUCUAUAUUUGGAGACAACUUGGGCUAGUUGCUUUCAUUUUUGAAAACAACUUUGUGCUAGUUGCCUUUACUUUUGAAGACAACUUGAGCUAGUUGUCUCAUAUUCAGAGACAACUUGAGUUAGUUGGCUCCAUUUUGUUUUGCAACUUGUUUAUGUAUACUAUUUGUUGGAGACAACUUGAGCUA